UACAGAGGGUGCGAGCGUUAAUCGGAAUUACUGGGCGUAAAGCGCGUGUAGGCGGCUUUGCAAGCCGGAUGUGAAAUCCCCGGGCUUAACCUGGGAACUGCAUUCGGGACUGCAUUGCUAGAGUAUGGGAGAGGGAAGUGGAAUUUCAGGUGUAGCGGUGAAAUGCGUAGAUAUCUGAAGGAACAUCAGUGGCGAAAGCGACUUCCUGGACCAAUACUGACGCUCAUGUGCGAAAGCGUGGGGAGCAAACAGG
rnacentral:rRNA from 1 species